GACCUGAUUGUAUGAAUCUGCUUUCUUAAGAGGUAUCCAUAAAUUUCUCUGUAUACGGAGAUGGAUUCAAGAAAAACAUUGGAUCGGCGGAAGACCGAGGUUCUACCCGUUUUGGAAAAUGUUCUCGAUUCGUUAGAAUACCGAGAACUGUCGCAUUAACGAGGCCAAUAACGGUGCCGGCAGGUGCCACGUGCCAAGUUACAUACCACUGUCGCUGUCCAUCAUCGUUCUUACUUUCUUGCUCUCGGACGUGCAAUUUUGAAUGAAAUCUACGUAACACCACACUGGGUGCCACUAUUGUAUCUUCGAUGAGAAAGCAGGCCGCAACAAAACGAACAAACGUGACUAAUGUAGAGAAUAAGAUAUGAGCGAAAAUUAUAGAUUGGAAUUAUAAUAUUAGAAUCUCUAAUAUGUUCAUCCCUUUUGAAGUUUAUUCAAAACUUUUGGAAAUCAAGGGAUAAAGGAAUAAACUGGCAUUACGAAUGAAUACACGGAUUGAUUUGGCUGGCUGUUAAUCGGUUUAAAGACGACGACGAGGAAGCGUGCCACGACCGGAUUUUCUCCAACCCCGGUAAAAUCAAUUUUUUCUGAACGCGUUCGUUGGCCUCCCUUUCCGUUUUUUCAUGCGCCGGAGAAGCCGAUAGCUCGGGAUCACUUCCGUGCCGAGGGUGAACAGCUGCCAAGGGAUUUUUCGACGAGGGUUUCCUCGAGCUGCAAAGGAAAUGACGGAAAAAACUUUCUAUUGCUGCAGAUACCGGCGUGAAAAAACAUUUAGUGAGAUGCAAAAAAGGAACAAAAGGGGGGAAAGAAGAGGAAAAAAAAAUGGCAUUGAAGAAUGCUAUGUAAAAUUGGAAAUCAAGACUUUAUGCGAUUAACGAUCAGAUAAAGAAUAGUGGACACCAUUUCUAAACUUAUUUAUAAUAUACUUCUAUAUAACUAUAUCUUUAAUUAGACACUUUGUCCGAAUUACCAUUAUUUUCUCCGGAAUAUCGUAAUUUUUAAUUUACAUCUCGAACUUAAUUCCAGUGUCACGCGCAACGCUUAUCGUAACAUUAUGCAUAACUUCCUUAAAAAAUAUUCAACGACCGCGUAAAUCACCUCGAAAAAGAGAAAUCGCAACGCGAUAAGAGUAACACGGGGACGAGAUCCAUCAGGAAAGAAGUAAACGAUGCCCAGCAGCGUGUCUCCCUCCAUCAGUCAAAUUCGAUCACACGGUUGAUGGAUCGCAGGUGGACAAGCGUACUGUCUCGAACUGAAAUUCUCUGGUCACGGAUAAAUUAAAGUGAAAACUAUUUAAUUACGAGGUGGAAAUGUUUUAAACGAUAAAACAAACGAAUUAUUAUCAGUCACUUUUUUUUGGAAAUUUUAUAGAAUUUUGCCUACAUCUUUGAAGACUUAAUUUGAUGGAAUAAAAAUCUAUAUAAUUGAUUUUAAUUGCUUCUCGACGAAAGCAAGGAAAUUUUAGAUAAUUAACGAAAGAUCGAAUGGAUCAAUCUUGGAAACGUUGAAUAGUAAAAUGAUAGAUGAAAUGAUGCGUGAAAAUAGAAAAAUAUAGAAAUAUAAAGUGGAAAAGAAGGAAAGAAGUAAAGAAGGAAAAAGAGUUGUCGAUUAAUAAAAUUCAAGAAUGUUUCUCACGGUAUUAACGCGUAUUUUAAAAUUCGACACAGGUUACGCUCAUUUGUCGAUAAAUUGUUAAGUGUUGCUAAAUACAGUGUCGCAGCUGUUCCACGGUAGCGCGAGAAUUUUUGAGCAAAUGGCGUGGCAAGGAACAAGAAAAUGGGAUCCAAUAUAGUUUAUAGAUGAGGAUCACACGAAAAUAAACGUAACAAGACCGAGUGUUGUACGAGAAUUACGCCGCAUAAUUAACUUUCAUUGGUAAAGUGAAAGGCUAUUAUUUGGUAAUAAACUGGGCGUCGUAAUAAUACGAUAACAUAACAAUUUCGCGUUUCUUUUUAACGCGUAUCCCUGGCAAACGACCAUCGAUAAUGGCGCAAACAAACUCGCUCCGAUCAAGCGAUUAAUUACGAAAGUCGAAGGGGCACGUCGUCGUUGAUCCUAGAAGACGAAUGCCUUUUGUGUCUUUUCCAUUGUUCGCGCGUAUAAACACCCCUAACAGUCUUCGGUGGAGAAUCUUUUCAUGCGCUUCCCGUACGAAUCUUCCUCCCCUCCCCUUCCCCCUUUGCGCAUAUCGUCUUCCUUGUACGCAAACGAUCCGAUGAAAUCGCAACGGUCGUUUCUCGAUGAUGGAGAAUAGGACUGGGUCAACGGAAACGAGCUAGCAGAGAGUCCAGGUAUGGAUGGGCAGGUGUCGAUGAAACUCGAUGUGACUCGAGAACGAAAUAAACACGAUUCCAUCUUUGAUGAAAGGACUUGGCUUUUUGGGGAGGCGAAAGUGGCGAAUGUCGUGAAGAAUUUACGGAUUAUGGGAGAAGGGAGAUUGUUUGGAUUAGAAAUAUCGAGGGAUGAAGGGAAUGAUGAAUAAGUUUUUACAAUUUUGAAACUGAGGAUUAGGAGAGAGGAAAAAAAUGGCACUUUUCCAAGAAUAGAAGAAACAUAUUCUUUGGAGAACGUCCUCCUGUUUAUCCCUGAAAUCGAUUCGAAACAACGCUCCUUUUGCCUGGAGUCUAUUGAAGAUUAGGAGAGAGAAAA